AACGAACGCUGGCGGCAUGCCUAACACAUGCAAGUCGAACGAGACCUUCGGGUCUAGUGGCGCACGGGUGCGUAACGCGUGGGAACCUGCCUUUAGGUUCGGAAUAACUCAGAGAAAUUUGAGCUAAUACCGGAUAAUGUCUUCGGACCAAAGAUUUAUCGCCUUUAGAUGGGCCCGCGUUGGAUUAGCUAGUUGGUGGGUAAAGCCUACCAAGCCUACGAUCCAUAGCUGGUUUGAGAGGAUGAUCAGCAACACUGGGACUGAGACACGGCCCAGACUCCUACGGGAGCAGCAGUGGGGAAUCUUAGACAAUGGGCGCAAGCCUGAUCUAGCCAUGCCGCGUGAGCGAUGAAGGCCUUAGGGUUGUAAAGCUCUUUCAGAUGGGAAGAUAAUGACGGUACCAUCAGAAGAAGCCCCGGCUAACUCCGUGCCAGCAGCCGCGGU
rnacentral:rRNA from 1 species